AAAUGAAUAGACGGGGACCCGCACAAGCAGCGGAGCAUGUGGUUUAAUUCGAAGCAACGCGAAGAACCUUACCAGGACUUGACAUGCCCUUGCCCGUUCUAGAGAUAGAACCUUAUCUUCGGAUACAAGGGACACAGGUGGUGCAUGGUUGUCGUCAGCUCGUGUCGUGAGAUGUUGGGUUAAGUCCCGCAACGAGCGCAACCCUUGUCUUUAGUUGCUAACAGCUAGGCUGAGCACUCUAGAGAGACUGCCGAUGAGAAAUCGGAGGAAGGUGGGGAUGACGUCAAAUCAUCAUGCCCUUUAUGUCCUGGGCUACACACGUGCUACAAUGGUCGGUACAACGAGGAGCAACACAGCGAUGUGAAGCAAAUCUCUUAAAGCCGAUCCCAGUUCGGAUUGCAGGCUGCAACUCGCCUGCAUGAAGUCGGAGUUGCUAGUAAUCGCGAAUCAGAAUGUCGCGGUGAAUGCGUUCCCGGGUCUUGUACACACCGCCCGU
rnacentral:rRNA from 1 species